AAAAAGACAAAUCCUGAUUUCCGUGCCCAACAUUUGACCGUCCGUCUUAUUUAAAAAAAAAAUUAAAAAGACAAGUUAUGCAUAAAAUAUUAAUCAUAUUUUAUCAUCUAACAACAAUGAAAAUACGAAUUAUAAAAAAAUUUCAUAUAAGACGGACAGUCAAAGUUGAACAUGAAAACGUAGGGUUUGUUUUUUU
rfam:Oryza nivara chromosome 9, whole genome shotgun sequence.